rnacentral:lncRNA from 1 species
CACAAAUCCUCUCCGGGCGGGGCGAGUUUGCGGAGAGCGCUUCGAAGUGCUGGGCUAGAGCCUCUGAGGAUUUUCGGGCUCUUAUUUCCCAUGAACCUCUGGGCCUAAACUAACCUCAGUCUCUGGGUCUCUUUCCGGUGUUUCCGAGAUUUUUGGACUCUGCGUGCUCUGGCUUUUCUGGACUCUGUGCUUCACCAAUAGAGGAACUCUAUGGAGCACUAAUUAGUUCCUGGGAUUCUAGAACCAUGACUGACGUAAGUUGGUCUUUCUCCUUGACAUGUUGUGAUGUUUAGGUCAUGUGGAUCUUUUCCUGAAUUACCCUAAAGCUUUCUACUUAACAGAACCCCCUCCUUGAACCUCCUUCUCAGU